UAAAGCACCAAAUAAAACCAUUGGAAAUAAAGUUACUUUUUAUUGUGAUGUUGGGUAUACAAUGCUGGGUUGUAAUUAUCGGAACUGUACAUCCAAAGGUUGGGAUGGUGAGGUUCCAUCCUGUGAACCAAUAAACUGUGGUAACCCUGCUAAGAUUCCGAAUGGAU